GUCGUAUACCAAAUUAUUGCUUCAUUAUUCAAAACCAAGAGACACCCACCUAAGCAAUCACAGUAACAUGACGCAAAAUGGCAACAUAGAGAUUUACAGAUAAGAAUUCUAUUAUUUAUUGAAUGGCCAAGAAUCAGAUAUUAAAAGAAAGCAAAUAAACAAACCCAGUAGGGGUUCCUAAGCUACUGCUAAGCAUUUACAUAAGGGAACUGAUAGCACAGCGAUCAUGAAGUUCCCCCUCCCCUAGAGCUGGUUUUCAUCACAGUUCCAACUGGAGGUGGGUACACAGCUCAAGUAGUGACACCAAUGGCAGCGAUCAUUCCCAUUCUCCCCCCGGAACAGCAUCACUAAUGCAACUACGAAUCUGCAUCAAAUCAAUUCAGGUUAAUGUUUAUUCAUGCACUAAAUUAAAUCCAUUUCAGCUCCAAGCGGCAGUAAACAGAUUGACAAUACUUUUCUUUAACAGCAAUCUGGCAAUGUGCCACAAAUCAGAACAAUAAUAACAUGACCCAUAACCCCAAAAAUUCAGUAUCAAAAUGAUGGAAAAUGUUGGUUAACAAAGCCAUCUACAACACACAUAAAAGUAAGGUAGUUCCAUCUGUUUGCCUUUUUCAUGACAUGGAAAAUGGAUCUACAGCCUGGCAUUUAUUUCAUGAUUUCAGAAUAUUGUUCCACCAAACACAAAAAUAAUGCAGGAGAAACUACAAAUAAAAAUAUGCAUUCAAACAACAAAGUACAAUAUCAUUUUGUUUCCUGGGCCCAAAAACCAUAUGACUGAUAAUGACUUUUUUAUUUGAUAUUCUGAAGUUUGGGCAUGACUCACCCUGCAAUUAGGAGAACCAGAGAAACCAGCCAUAAAACGUAUUGGUAGGACUUGUACUUUGAUUUGACACUAACAUUGGCAGGAAGAUUUUGACGCUCUAACCACCCAUAUCGAGGACGAGGUAGCAAAACAAAGCCGAGGAGGAACCCAGCAAGAAAUCCACCGAUAUGAGCAAAAUUAUCAACAUGUGGCAGAAUUCCAAUAGCAAGGUUGAUGGCUAUGAUGACCAGAAGUGUAAAGAGUGCUGCAGCCUUGUUAGUGUAAAUAGUCCAGUUUGUAAUUAGUUCAGAAAGCAUUGCUCCUAGAAGGCCAAAAAGUGCACCAGAGGCACCAACAGAGAUGCUGUUUCUAAUAAAUAGAGAGGAAAGAAUGCUCCCAGCAAAUCCAGAAAGCAGAUAAAUAAUACCAAUGCGGACUGCCAAAUUUUGAAAAGAAAAUUAGAUCCCAUUAACAUUAAAAUAAAAUUCUCAAUAGUAAAGGUACCUUUUUCAGCAUGGAUCAUAAAAUUUUAAGUUCAAAGACAUCAAGAAGUGUGACCUUGUGACACAGACAUUAAGCACUACAAAACUAAAGCCUUUUCAAUGGUACGUUGCCCAAAUAUUUUGGGAAAACAUUCAAGUAGGCCAAAAAUAUACAUUGAUUUUUCUUGUCUAAGUAAUAUCCCCACAUAUAGGAAGUCUACAACAUAUACUUUAGAAAACAUUUAAGAGCUACAUACCAAACCCAAAUUGCUGCUCGAGGCGAAUACCAAUGAAGACCAAGCACAGCAUGUUUGCGAGAAGAUGAAUAAUACCCGCAUGCAACCAAACACACGUAACAAGCCUCCAUCCCUGGUGCUUAUGUACAACUCUUUCCCACUCAAGAGCUCCCAACUUCUUCAAUCUUUGACCCAAAAAAGAGAAAAGGAAAGGGAAAAGCAAAUUCAAUUAAACAUGAUUAUUUAGACAACUUCCAGUUUUCUAUUAUAAUUUAAGAUGACCAUAUGAAAUACACAAGCACUCAACCACCACCAAACUCAUUGUUUUCCUCUUCCAAAUUCGCCAGAUUCUCACCUCUGGCAUACAAUCAAUCAAAACCACUUGGAAAUCAUGUCCAAGGUAUCACAUAUUCAUGUCAAGCUAUGCAAAAGUUUCAAGUUCCAAGUUUCAAAUUUGCGAUUGCAAUAUAGAAGCAAAAUUCGAUUCCAAAAUUAAUUUAUUAAUCCAAAGCAAACGAAACUAACACAAAGUAACAAGAUUUAUAUGUCUCAUAAAUCCCACCAUGGAAAUUGUCAUUAACAGUAUGGAAAAUCAGGUAUUGAAAUGUACAAAAUCAGCAGGGGAGCCAUUCUUACUCAUCGACGGAAAUAGAAAACCAACAAAACUAUAUCUACCAAUAGUCAAAAAUUCCUCACAGCAUUCAAGGAAGAGUAUAGAAAAGGAAAAUUAAAUAAAAAAAAGAUUGACAAAGGAAAAAUUAAAGCAGAGGAAGAAAGAAAAACUAGUUACGUAGCAGAAGAGGGACCAAAGAGAGGAUUGUCUCUUAAGGGCUCGAAAGAGAAUCUCCCAAGAAACCUCGCAACACACUUCCCUUGGAACCGAGAAUGAAAAUGAUUAGGACAAUCAUUGAUGUACAUGACAACAAUAAAGACAGCAACAUUUGCCACCACAAACAUAGGCACGAGCCACGAGGUCCAUUGGGUUUCAUUUUCUUCGAUCAAAUAAGAGGAAGACGAUGAUGGGUAGCUGUUAUUUGUUCUGCUCUUCACUCCUCCUCCUCCUCCUCUUUCAAUAUCAUCCCCUGGCAUGUUUGAAGUAAGUUCUUUUGGUGUUUUUCUGGCCAGUAAGAAACGUUUGCUCCUAUAUCUCUCUCUGGGAUAACAGGAUGGUACUUGGUAGAGUUGGUGAGUGGCUUUAAUGCGGGGUUCAGAGAAAGAGAGAAUGUGUGUGCGUGUUGAAAGUGGCUAGCUUUUU
rnacentral:misc_RNA from 1 species